rfam:Oryza sativa Japonica Group DNA, chromosome 11, cultivar: Nipponbare, complete sequence.
AAUAAGUGCAGUUUUGCACUAUUCACGUUCAACGUUUGACCGUCCGUCUUAUUUGAAAAAUUUGUGAAAAAAUUAAAAACAUUUAGUCACACAUAAAGUACUAUUUAUGUUUUAUCAUCUAAUAGCAAUAAAAAUAAUAAUCAUAAAAAAUUUUCAAAUAAGACGGACGGUCAAACGUUGAACAUAAAUAGUGCAAAACUGCACUUAUU